CCUACGGGUGGCAGCAGUGAGGAAUAUUGGUCAAUGGGCGAGAGCCUGAACCCUCCCCUCCGCUUUCUUUCCUCCUUCCCUCUUUUUUUUCCCCCUCUUUUUUCUUUUAUCAAAAGCCGGACGUGUCCGGCUGUGAGAGUACCCGAAGAAAAAGCAUCGGCUAACUCCGUGCCAGCAGCCGCGGUAAUACGGAGGAUGCGAGCGUUAUCCGGAUUUAUUGGGUUUAAAGGGUGCGCAGGCGGAUUUUUAAGUCAGCGGUCAAAUCGUGGGGCUCAACCCCAUCCAGCCGUUGAAACUGGGGAUCUAGAGUGUGCGAGAGGUAUGCGGAAUGCGUGGUGUAGCGGUGAAAUGCAUAGAUAUCACGCAGAACCCCGAUUGCGAAGGCAGCAUACCGGUGCACAACUGACGCUCAGGCACGAAAGCGUGGGUAUCGAACAGGAUUAGAUACAAAAGUAGUC
rnacentral:rRNA from 1 species